rnacentral:rRNA from 1 species
UACACGGUGGAUGCCCUGGCAGUCAGAGGCGAUGAAGGACGUGCUAAUCUGCGAUAAGCGUCGGUAAGGUGAUAUGAACCGUUAUAACCGGCGAUUUCCGAAUGGGGAAACCCAGUGUGAUUCGUCACACUAUCAUUAACUGAAUCCAUAGGUUAAUGAGGCGAACCGGGGGAACUGAAACAUCUAAGUACCCCGAGGAAAAGAAAUCAACCGAGAUUCCCCCAGUAGCGGCGAGCGAACGGGGAGCAGCCCAGAGCCUGAAUCAGUGUGUGUGUUAGUGGAAGCGUCUGGAAAGGCGCGCGAUACAGGGUGACAGCCCCGUACACAAAAAUGCACAUGCUGUGAGCUCGAUGAGUAGGGCGGGACACGUGGUAUCCUGUCUGAAUAUGGGGGGACCAUCCUCCAAGGCUAAAUACUCCUGACUGACCGAUAGUGAACCAGUACCGUGAGGGAAAGGCGAAAAGAACCCCGGCGAGGGGAGUGAAAAAGAACCUGAAACCGUGUACGUACAAGCAGUGGGAGCACGCUUAGGCGUGUGACUGCGUACCUUUUGUAUAAUGGGUCAGCGACUUAUAUUCUGUAGCAAGGUUAACCGAAUAGGGGAGCCGAAGGGAAACCGAGUCUUAACUGGGCGUUAAGUUGCAGGGUAUAGACCCGAAACCCGGUGAUCUAGCCAUGGGCAGGUUGAAGGUUGGGUAACACUAACUGGAGGACCGAACCGACUAAUGUUGAAAAAUUAGCGGAUGACUUGUGGCUGGGGGUGAAAGGCCAAUCAAACCGGGAGAUAGCUGGUUCUCCCCGAAAGCUAUUUAGGUAGCGCCUCGUGAAUUCAUCUCCGGGGGUAGAGCACUGUUUCGGCAAGGGGGUCAUCCCGACUUACCAACCCGAUGCAAACUGCGAAUACCGGAGAAUGUUAUCACGGGAGACACACGGCGGGUGCUAACGUCCGUCGUGAAGAGGGAAACAACCCAGACCGCCAGCUAAGGUCCCAAAGUCAUGGUUAAGUGGGAAACGAUGUGGGAAGGCCCAGACAGCCAGGAUGUUGGCUUAGAAGCAGCCAUCAUUUAAAGAAAGCGUAAUAGCUCACUGGUCGAGUCGGCCUGCGCGGAAGAUGUAACGGGGCUAAACCAUGCACCGAAGCUGCGGCAGUGACGCUUAUGCGUUGUUGGGUAGGGGAGCGUUCUGUAAGCCUGUGAAGGUGUGCUGUGAGGCAUGCUGGAGGUAUCAGAAGUGCGAAUGCUGACAUAAGUAACGAUAAAGCGGGUGAAAAGCCCGCUCGCCGGAAGACCAAGGGUUCCUGUCCAACGUUAAUCGGGGCAGGGUGAGUCGACCCCUAAGGCGAGGCCGAAAGGCGUAGUCGAUGGGAAACAGGUUAAUAUUCCUGUACUUGGUGUUACUGCGAAGGGGGGACGGAGAAGGCUAUGUUGGCCGGGCGACGGUUGUCCCGGUUUAAGCGUGUAGGCUGGUUUUCCAGGCAAAUCCGGAAAAUCAAGGCUGAGGCGUGAUGACGAGGCACUACGGUGCUGAAGCAACAAAUGCCCUGCUUCCAGGAAAAGCCUCUAAGCAUCAGGUAA